rnacentral:lncRNA from 1 species
CCACCAGUCUCUACUCCACCAGCUCCACACCACCAGCCCCACCCCACCAGUCUCCACUCCACCAGUCUCCCACCAGCUCCACACCACAACUCUCCACUCCACCAGUCUCCACUCCAACAGCUCCACUCCACCAGUCUCCACUCCACCAGUCUCCACUCCACCAGUCUCCACUCCACCAGUCUCCCACCAGUCUCCACUCCACCAGUCUCCCACCAGCUCCACACCACCACUCUCCACUCCACCAGUCUCCACUCCAGCAGCUCCACUCCACCAGUCUCCACUCCAUCAGUCUCCACUCCACCAGUCUCCACUCCAGCAAUCUCCACUCCAACAGCUCCACUCCACCAGUCUCCACUCCACCAGUCUCCACUCCACCAGUCUCCACUCCACCAGUCUCCCACCAGCUCCACUCCACCAUUCUCCCAAUCGCUCUUUAUCCUCCAAGUAGCAUUGACCUCUGAGGUGUCAGAAAUAUGGACACGCUUUCAGAUGACGGAGACUUUGCCAGUCCUUCCUUUCUCCUUGGCCCCUCUCUUAAGCCUGCAUGGGACUCUUGUCUGCUCUGUCUGCAGAGUAAGGUAUUGUAGGAGCCUGUGAAUAGUAGGUGUCAAACUUCAUAGUUCUCAUUUUGCUUCCUGUACAUGCCAGAAGAAAAGUUCUCUCCGUGCUGGUUUUCCCUUUGUGCCGGCGCUCUCUAGUCCUCCUGGGAACAGACCACAUUCCAGCCACAAUCAGACUCUUUGUGCCUGAGGCAUUGUACCCUUCUCUGUUACGCCGACAGCCCUCCUAGCUUCUUUACUAAUGUAUGCAAGCAUAUCAUAAAAAGUCUAGACUAUUAUUAUUUAUAAUUUUUUUUGCUACUAUUCCCGGACAAUGGGUAUGAGAAUGAGAAUAUCUGAUGCGUUGUUUUCUGGGAUGCUACUGCUUUAGUAUGUAUUCAUAAAAGUACCUUUGUGCAUCGUGCAUAACUUAUGGUUUAAGGUUGCGCCUUAUUCAUCACACUGUCUGUGUGUGGGGUGGACCAUUUCAGAUUGUCAGUGAUUUGUACGCCGAGGAACUUGAAGCUUUUCACCUUCUCCACUGUGGUCCCGUUGAUGUUGCAACCAGGAGGAAUGCACUUCUGUCUACUCUUGGGCCCACUGAGAGACCUCAGAACAAUCGCUGAUGGCUCAGUGUCGCGGUCCAACCACAGUUGCGAUUGAUGUUUAAACUCAACUAUACAUACCGGUAUGAACAUCAUUGUUUUUAGCCGGAUGGACCAAAAGAUGCUAACUUCCUUGUUUCUCCACUUGGACCACUAGGAGACAACAGAACAACCAAUCAGGGUUCGGUGUGUCUCCACUUGGACCACUAAGAGACUACAGAACAACCAAUCAGGGUUCUGUGUGUCUCCACUUGGACCACUAGGAGACAACAGAACAACCAAUCAGGGUUCGGUGUGUCUCCACUUGGACCACUAAGAGACAACAGAACAACCAAUCAGGGUUCUGUGUGUCUCCACUUGGACCACUAAGAGACUACAGAACAACCAAUCAGGGUUCUGUGUGUCUCCACUUGGACCACUAAGAGACUACAGAACAACCAAUCAGGGUUCUGUGUGUCUCCACUUGGACCACUAAGAGACUACAGAACAACCAAUCAGGGUUCUGUGUGUCUCCACUUGGACCACUAAGACACUACAGAACAACCAAUCAGGGUUCUGUGUGUCUCCACUUGGACCACUAAGACACUACAGAACAACCGUUCAGGAUCCCGGUAGCCUGGCUACCCAUCCACAUCGCUCCAACCAGGAGCCACGCCCAUUGAGCAUUUCUUCUCGGCUGGUCAAUUUGUUUUGUACAACGCCCCUCAUUUUGACGUCAGCACAAACAACUUCUAGUAUUGCCAUUUUAAACUGAAUGUAUGGAGCGAUCGAUAAUCGAUAGAGCAGCGUAAUUCAAUUCAGGAUGAGCUGUUUUUCUUUAUUUUAUAUUUUUUAUGACAUUUUUUUUAUUGUUUACUUCAGUUUAUUUUAGUAAAUACUUUUUUAACAGUUAUGUUUCCUUUAAACUGAAUUGUUGGUUAUUAUUAAGGGCUUGUAACUCAGCAUUUCACUGUAAGGUCUACUACACCUGUUAUAUUCAGCAUUUCACUGUGAGGUCUACUACACCUGUUGUAUUCAGCAUUUCACUGUGAGGUCUACUACACCUGUUGUAUUCAGCAUUUCACUGUAAGGUCUACUACACCUGUUGUAUUCAGCAUUUCACUGUGAGGUCUACUACACCUGUUGUAUUCAGCAUUUCACUGUGAGGUCUACUACACCUGUUGUAUUCAGCAUUUCACUGUAAGGUCUACUACACCUGUUGUAUUCAGCAUUUCACUGUGAGGUCUACUACACCUGUUGUAUUCAGCAUUUCACUGUAA